GUGAGGAAUAUUGGUCAAUGGGCGAGAGCCUGAACCAGCCAAGUCGCGUGAAGGAUGAAGGUUUUAUGAAUUGUAAACUUCUUUUGCAGGGGAAUAAAGUACGGUACGUGUACCGUUUUGUAUGUACUCUGCGAAUAAGGAUCGGCUAACUCCGUGCCAGCAGCCGCGGUAAUACGGAGGAUCCAAGCGUUAUCCGGAUUUAUUGGGUUUAAAGGGUGCGCAGGCGGGUUGAUAAGUCAGCGGUGAAAGUUUGCAGCUUAACUGUAAAAUUGCCGUUGAAACUGUCGAUCUUGAGUGCAAAUGAGGUAAGUGGAAUGUGUUGUGUAGCGGUGAAAUGCUUAGAUAUAACACAGAACACCGAUUGCGAAGGCAGCUUACUGGGAUGCAACUGACGCUCAUGCACGAAAGCGUGGGGAUCAAACAGGAUUAGAAACCCUUGUAGUCC
rnacentral:rRNA from 1 species